rnacentral:rRNA from 1 species
GUCCACGGCCACGCCACCCUGAACACGCCCGAUCUCGUCUGAUCUCGGAUGCUCAGCAGGGUCGGGCCUGGUGAGUGCUUGGAUGGGAGACCACCUAGGAAGACCAGGUGCUGUAGGCA